rnacentral:rRNA from 1 species
GAUAAACGCUGGCGGCGUGCCUUAUGCAUGCAAGUCGAACGGUCCUUCUUCGGAAGGGUAGUGGCGAACGGGUGAGUAACGCGUAAGUGACCUGCCGAGAAGUGGGGAAUAACUGGUCGAAAGAUCAGCUAAUACCGCAUGAGCUCCCUGGUGUAAAGGCUGGGGAGGAAAGCCGAAAGGCGCUUUUCGAGGGGCUUGCGUCCGAUUAGCUAGUUGGUGGGAUAAAGGCUCACCAAGGCGAUGAUCGGUAGCUGGUCUGAGAGGAUGAUCAGCCACACUGGGACUGCGACACGGCCCAGACUCCUACGGGAGGCAGCAGCAAGGAAUUUUGGCAAUGGGGGAAACCCUGACCCAGCAACGCCGCGUGGACGAUGAAGGCUUUCGGGUCGUAAAGUCCUUUUGUGGGGGACGAUAAUGACGGUACCCCACGAACAAGCCCCGGCUAACUACGUGCCAGCAGCCGCCGUAA